GUGGUAUUUCUGGAUCCUUACCAAGGUAGUGAUGGUAUAUGCCUUCUCUCAAAGUAUGUAGUAUUUGUGGUAUGAGGCAUAGUGACAUUGCCUUCUCUCUCACCCUACUCUAAUAAGGCUUGAUAUCUGGAGCUCAUAGGUGGGAGACUGCUAAUACAUACUUACAAGACAUUUAUUGCAUAGUCAAACCAUGGAUCCAGAGAAACAAGUCAAUAAGUUAAAUCAAGAUGUGCAUGUGUGGCGAAUGAAUGGUGUAUGGUGAUAACAAUGGUGAAAGUCUAAUUCUACUUUUGCUCUUUUGAGGGGAUACAUACCUUUCUUGCACUUUGAAGUUUUUUUAGAAGAAUGAGAUGCUUUAUAUUAUUAUUUUUUUUUCUCUCAGGUGGGUAUCUUGUACCCCUAAUUCUACUGUCGGACACUUGUCCAUUUUUACCUCUCGUCUCACUUUUUCUUUUCUUUCGAGGUUCCGGACACUUGCCCCUUUUUAUUUCCUCGUAUUCACUUCUUUUUUUCAGAGCACUCACCCUUCUGGAAUAAUGUAGCAAGUGGUAGUAACCAAAAUAUCUCGAGCAUUUAUUUCAUUGGGAAUAACAGGGAUAGGAUAAUGUUUUUGGCUAUUCUCUCCCGGAUAGGAGUAGAAUAAUUUUGGGUGAAUCUGGAGAUGCAAAUGAGUGGAUGUAUGUGGAUGCGUACUUCCGGAGUAGAAGCAGCAUGUAUGAGUGAACGUGCAAGUAAAUCUUGAUUUUAACCGCAUGACAAGCUCCUAAGGGUCUAUACAGCUUGACCACACUCAAUGCUCAUAAGUAUUAAGUAAAUGUAUGGUUCAUAAUCUAAUAAGCAUGUAUAUAUGGCUGUGGUAGGAUUUUAAACUCUCAUCAUACAGGAACUCAUCAUGCAACAUUUUAAAGAUUUUCAAAGAUAAAAUUCUCUAGAAUUCUAGCAUUUCAGAUAAACAGCAGCUCAACCUUCCAAUAUCAAGUACUCUUCGCACACGUUCAGGUUUAGAGCAAAUCUUAAUUCAUAACAGUCAUGCCUAAACUUGAGAGAGAAUUUAAUUUUGAGAACUAGUCAUGGCAGAGCAACUAUUCAUCAUUUCCAUGUUUGAGCUUAUCAAGAGGCUUCAUAGCAAAGUUUAUUUAUUUAUUUAGCAAACUAAGCAAAGAUAUAUAUAAGCAUAAAAUCUUUAUUUGGGUUUUUAUGAUUAUGCAUCUUUUUAUUAUUUGAGUAAAGUAUAAACAUGAGUAGAAACACUUAGCUGGAUAAAUGGGGGUGCUCUCCUCCAAGCUGGAUUUUGAUGUAAUUUCUUAUAAUGUAGCUAGCAGGUGGUGGAUGUGUAUUUGAAUGUCGGUAGCACCCUGACAGCGAUUAGGAUGUCCUCCGUCUGCUAGUCUUCUUUGAUCCUUGAAUUCUGUGGAGCUCAAAUAGACAACAAAGCUUUGUGGAACUAGUUAAGUGUUAGCAUAAAUAUCUAGCCUUUAUCAUAUUGAGGCUCCUUAAUAAAUGUUACUCUCUAUGGUAGGAUCAUAAAUUUAUUUUUUAUAUUUUCAUUUUUAUAGGACAGGAAUAUAUUUAUUUUAUUUUUAUGCCACCACAGUGAAUGUACUUAUGGGUUUUAUGCCACGAGCAUACUCACAUGGGGCUUACUAUUUUUAACAUUUUUAUUUUCUUUUCAAGAUAGCAUGAUUAACUAACAAGCCAUUUAAGGAAAGUAAAUAAUUUAAGGGAAAAGGGAAUGCAUAAAGGAUAAAUAUGGAUAAUUACCGAUUUUACCUUUCGGCGAGGGUUCAAUGAUUUAAGUCUUCUGAAUAAGACUUCUCACCGUGUUCAUUCUUUAGGUGCGUCAUUUGAUUCAGGUGCGACCUUGACGUCUACACCUCUUGAUACGGUGUCACCCAUAUUCUUCGUUUACCUAGUAGUUCAAAGUGCGGCGUUGGCAGUAUCUUGCUCAGUGUGUUUGUGCUCAUAGAUCUAGGUUCUUCACUUGGUGGAAUCUGGGAGUUAUAAAACUUCUCCAUGUUUUGCUCGAAGUGUACCUGCUCAUAGAGACAAGGCAGAGAUCAAGUGCAUGGGUCCUGUUGGGGGAAAACACAAACAGAACCAAAAGUGUAUUUGUUCUUCUCUAACCUUAAGCAUAGUGAGCAAGACAAAGUUGAUGGAUGAUAAGUUCAUGAGUGUAGCACUUAUAAUAUUUGUCAGAUCAGAUCGCUCAACCUUAUGGAAAGAUAAUCUAUCUAUGUAUAUGUCUUUUUCUUUAUAUCUCUCAAAGAUUGUGUGUGUAACAUUUUAGGUCAUAUGAUUAGGAGUGUGGGAUCAUGGAGGUAGUACUAGGAACAAAGAUUAAACAUGCUGAAUAAGUUGGGUUGGUUAAUUUGGAGUUAUAAAUCAUACAUGUUUGUCUCUUUAUUUAUGUGAACGCCAGAACCAAGGAGAAGCUUAUAAAAGUGAUAGUCACAUAUCUUAAGAUGUUACCAUAAUUGAAGAGUGAUGGUACCAUCUCACCUUGUGGAAGCUUCCCAUUCGUAGUGGUUGUGUAUCUUGUUCAUGCACUUUGUCUCCUUCCAUGGA
rnacentral:lncRNA from 1 species